GGCAAGGUGGCUGAGUAAGCGGUGGGUUGUAGCCCCGAUUAUGGGGGUACUAGUCCCUCCCUUGUCA
rnacentral:tRNA from 1 species